rnacentral:ncRNA from 1 species
UUUAUGGAGAGUUUGAUCCUGGCUCAGGAUGAACGCUGGCGGCGUGCCUAAUACAUGCAAGUCGAGCGAACAGAUGAGAAG